rnacentral:antisense_RNA from 1 species
AUCCAAUGACUUGUCAGCCAGAGUAACGGCUGUCGUCAGGUCUUCAGGGUCUCGAGGUCGGUUUCUUCCUAACGCCGCCAACCCCAAGCUAAGGUAGACAUGAUAGCCAAGGCAGCUGAUUGUCCCGAAGAAUAAGUAUGAGCACAGAGGGAAAAUCAUGAAACAUCUGAGGACCAUGAGAACUGCUAAAACAAUACAUAGAACUAGCUAUACCAGAGAAAGUCAAGUGAAUGGAUCAGACAAUAAGAAUUGAAAAUAAGCUUAAUAGAGCUUCAGAGAAAGAAGGGAGAAUGUUGGAAACACAAAGCACAAACAAGCAUUUGUGAAUUGGAUGUUGACAAAUAUUAAUGAAAUAACUCAAUGGAUGGGUUGAAUAUAGCUGGACAGUUCACUCAUGAACCGGAAGAUUAGAGCAAGGAAGGAACUAAGAAAUGGAAAGCAUGAAAGGAGAGUUAAGAAAUGUGGAAGGUAGAAGCAUAAAUAUUUUUCUAAUGGAAAUUCCAGAAGGGGAAAAAAAAGAACAUGUGAAAGAAUUAUUGCUGAGAAUUUCCCAGAAUUGAAGACAUACUUUAGAAUGAAAAAGGCCAACUCUAACUUUGGGAUUUCUAGCUUCGGAGGAAUGAAAAUUUAGAAUGACCAAGGGGA